GCAGGGCACUGCUGGGACCCUGCAUGGAAGCUGGGAACUCAAGCAGAUGACUGGCUAGGUGAUGGUUUGAGAACCGGAAAAGGAAAAUAUGCCUUGAGUCUUGAGACAUCCCAGGAGAUCGUGUUCCUACUUUGCCAUCUUCCUGAUUAUGGGAAAACACAAAUCUAAGGCAGGAGAGCAAGAAGGAAAUGGUGUUUGUAACCAACCCAUGUCAAUGCCACUGGGCUUUACAUCUCGUGUCUCCCCUGCCCACAAGCUGAGGAGUACAAUUUAAAUUACAUGAAGUCUUUCCUUUCCCCAUUGCACUAUUGUGGCCUGUGAGCGGCCCUCAGCAGGGUGGUGAGGACAGACCUGUGUGCAUCUGCAGGCCACGCCUAUCUUCCCCAGGCUGUUCAGCUCUCUCAGCCAGUCAGGACAUGGCACAUCGUGUCUGGGGGGUGUGUACAGGGCCUCAUUGGCUCUGCUGCUCCAGCUCUGCUCCCAAUUUCAGCUCUGCUGGGGCUAAAGGUGCUCCUGCCAUGGCACAGGGCCCACCGUGCCCACCAGGGCAGGUGGCAGCGACCGCCAUUUUGUCAAACUGCUGCUGGGGGAAACUGCAGCCACCAAAAUGGUGGGUGUCUCUGGGACAUUUAUUUCUCCUCAGAGGGCCCUGGGACUUGCUGGUCUACUCCAAAAACAGGCUUACAGCUGCGGCUCAGUGGCAGCUGGCAGAGCUGAUUCAAGCACUGGAAUACCUUCCCUGCAUGUCUUUCUAUUGAAAAGCCAGCACAGGAUAUGUCAGCAGCCACUGAGGCAGCAAGUCCUUUGCAGAAGGGGCUGUUGAUGUACUUACUGAGAGAUGGUGAUGAGUUGUCCAGGGCUGAAGCAAGUACUGCUGCUAGCUGGUGAGACCCUGGAGCAGACCACGCUUAUACUGAACUCCAGCAAUCUGAACCUGCCAGGUGCAAGAAGGGGCAGUGGAGAGGCAGGUGUGUGGCCAACGGACAGAGAUGGGACUGUACUCUCCUGCUGCAGAACAACGACAAGGACUCUUGCCAAGGAGUAAAGUAACAAAACAUGAACCCCCCCCCUUAACCUUUCUCGACCAGAACAGGCCUCCACCUGCCAGUCCUGAGGUGCCAGUCCACCUCCACCUGCCUGGGCCUGGGCUGUGGCCUUUGAAUUUGAGUCUUGAUGCAGUUGCUCGUGCCAAGUAUAUCACAAAAACACCACCUUGGUAUUAGUGUACAACUGAAAUAAUGUGCAAAGGAUGUUCCUAAGAAACACCAGUUGGCCCUCAGAGUGAAAUCCUGAUUUGCUAGCUGUACACUGUCAACUGAAUGUGUUCACAAGGCCUAUGGAUAAACGUGAGUUGAGGCUUCUGGAAAAGGAUGUAUUUGUUCCUUACUAAGCUUACUGCUCCUAUCUGCAAAUCUCUUAGCAACUUGACAUGUUACAAAAUAUCUAUGCUUUAACUUUUAUGGAGCUUUAUCUCUUUGUCUGGGGCAGGUGAUAGGGUGAGCAGAGCUGUUGAAGAAUCACCAAUGGUAAAUGAAGUUUUAUGUUUGAUUAAGUGAGCAGUUUUUUUGAGAUUAUUCUUGCAUCUUAACUAAUUCACUUUAAAGAAAGUACUAUGGUAAGUGUUGGCUCCUCAUACUACAGCAAAAAAAACAGUUUCCAUCACAGAUAGCGUAAGCAAAUCACAUAAAGAAUUUUUGCUUUUACUAGAAGGCCCAGCACAGGGCUGUACAAAUAUAUAAUACGUCAUUGGCAAUGCUCUGAAGAAUGUACAGAGCAGGAUGACAAAGCACAGAUUACUUACAAACUAUAAACAAUUACAAAUGCAUAAAUAUUUUGCAGUCUACUUUUUGCCUACACCCAUUACAGGAUUCAAAUCUAAAACGAGACAGAUUCUAGGUGCCCAGCUCCAACUGACGAACCAAAACUGAGCUUGAUGCCAGUGAGGCCUCCAUGAUAGGGAGGGAUUGUCAACAUUUAUUUGACUUAUACAGACAAAGCCUGGUGUAUAAUUGAGGAAGACAAGACAUCAUGAUCAAACAUCAGUGACCCUUAUCCUGCCCCCUUAAAUUUAAUUCCAUAAUCAGCACUUACAUCACGGAGAGGCUGCAGAUAUUACCCAGGCUUCUCGUUCAGCAUUGCACUAUCUAAAAUGAGUCUUGCCUGUAAGGAUCUGUUUUCUUCAAAACUUUGAUCCUGCCCCUUGCUUAGCUUGACAAGCUGCCAGCGAAAUUCUGGAUUUUAGAAAUAGCUUAAACUCAGCCCAUUCCUGCCUUCAAUCAGUUGGUUUUAGAGUUAUUUGUAAUUCCUCAAAGUACUAUCACACAGCAUCCAGCUGGCAUCCAUUUGAAUACAGUUGCUGCUGCUAAAGGGGAAGAAAAAAAGAUAACACCAUCAUUAUGAAGCCUAAUCUUGCAAAUUCAGCAAAAAAUAAACUAUUGAACGCCAUCUCGUGGCACUGCACAGCUAUUUCCUGGCAACACACUGGAGCUCCAACCAUGACAGUGAGGUUUAAUGUUUGACAGGGUUGCUUAAAAAAAAAAAAGGCUGUCAGGGUUAGAAGGAGCCCAUUAUAUGGCCACACUAAAGCUACGAAGCAUUCAUCAUCAUUAAUGCUUUAUCCAUACUUGCAUCUCAACUUUGUAGCCUCAGCAGCUGUCUCCUGGAGCCGCAGCAGAGCCUCAAGCUGCAGAAUGCACCUCUUUGACAUGUGCUUGUGGUUUUUCAAGCAGAGCCAUAGAGAUGCUCCGCACCCACAAAAACAUCUGAACCACUGAACACCACUGCAGCCUUUUGUGGAACAGGAAAAUACUUCCAUCUUCCAGACCAGUAUAUCAACAGCAUCUGAGGCCAUGUUUGCAAGAAGACAUCGGGAACGCCUCUCUGGCAAGAGGGAGCAGAGGACAGGGACUGAGGCCCCCCUGAACGAGCCAGCUCUAGAUUGUGAAGCCAUGUACCAGCCCCACAUGGGACCAAAGCCAAGCUGCACUGCUCACAGACAUCCUGGUUACAGGCUGGUUACACCACUUCAGGCUCCAGCUUAGCAUUUAAUGCAGCACUGUAUUUUGCACAUGGACAUACACGUUGCUCUGAUUAGUUUAACAGUCCUCAGGUAGUGGAAUCUUAGGCCAUGUAAACAUGGACCUGUUUACUCAAAACCCACGCAGGACAUAAUGUGCAAUUCAAAUUCUUAAUUCUGCAAGUAAAUCUGUAUUAUGAGAAUGCCAGAAAACUGAUUUGAAACAGCAACUUUUGAGAACUAACUACAGGGCCUACUUGUCAUGCUUCCAGAGAACAAAAUCACUUAAAGUAGAGCAGAUAUUUCCACAGGAGAGAUAGGAUACUUCAUCCCACUCUGAGCUCUUUCCAUAUGUUCUUAGAUAUGCCCUGCAGCUUUGCAGAGUCUUUCUUGAACCAGCUUCACUGGAAGAGUUUACCCACAGCUGUUUUUUUCCACUGCUCUGAUGGUUUGCUGUCUCACAACAGCUCAACUUGAAAACUUUCUCACAUGAUUCCUGCCCAACUAACAGCUUUGACAACAGUUCUUUCAACCAACUUGUUCUGACUGAAAUGAGUUCGCAAGUUCUCACACAGGCAGUUUUACAGACUGAACUGGAGGGGGCACUCACACAAGCAGCUAGAGGUGGGUCAGCAGCUAGUAUUACCUUCUGCUGGCAGAAAUGGUCUCAGAGAGCAUGUCUGUCUGCACUCUUACUCUCCAGCUUAGUUUUUGAUAAAAUUAUAAGGUAAAGGAAAUUGAUUUCUGAUGUAGUUAGGCAUUCCAAUUUUAGACCAAGGAUAAAUAUUUUUAUAUAUAUAUAUAUAUAUAUAUAUAUAUAUUUAAAUAAAUACAAUUGUUUAUCUAUAGAAAUAAGAUUCCCAACAUGUUGCUUGUAUUCAGUCAGUAUUAUAAAAUAGCAGCACACUUACCAGUCUCGAACCAUUAAUAGACACAAUAAAAUCAAAGAAUGGCU